GGUGGAAGCUGAAAGCUUAUUUAUAAAAGGUUAGGAAACUUUUAUUUUCUUCUGUUUUCAGGUGCAAAUUCCAGUCUUGUAACCAGAAGUAUGGAGUCAGUGAAGCCUAAUCCAAAUGUAAUGUGCACCUAAAGCAGAAAAAAAAAUCCCUCUGAACAAAGCUUUCUAAAGAAGCAUUCCAAGUACAAAGAGAUGGAGGAGAAAGCACUCGAGCCCUUGCAAUAUGGUAAACUGCUUCACCAAACUGGAUGCUGGAAUUCAAGUCUGCUGGGAUCAUCACUGGGAUUCAGGUGCAACUGAAUCUGUUUUCUAUACUGCACAACAUAGUAAGACCAAAGAAGAACUCGUGAAGAACCACAAAAUCCAACUAAUGCCCCAGGCGGCUGCCUGGUUGCCGUGACCAGGAACUUGGCUCUUGCUUCUUUUACACUUCCCUAAAAGCACCCUUGUCCUGCUGAGCCAGGUCAGUGCAUGAGGAUUUUCCUACU
rnacentral:lncRNA from 1 species